rnacentral:rRNA from 1 species
AGAAUCAACGCUGGCGGCGUGCCUAACACAUGCAAGUCGAACGCGGUUACCCCGCAAGGGGUGACUGAGUGGCAAACGGGUGAGUAACGCGUGGGUGACCUACCUUCGAGUGGGGGAUAACGUUUCGAAAGGAACGCUAAUACCGCAUGACAUCCUGCCUUUGGACAGGCGGAGAUCAAAGCCGGGGAUCGCAAGACCUGGCGCUUGAAGAGGGGCCCGCGUCCGAUUAGCUAGUUGGUGGGGUAAUGGCUCACCAAGGCGACGAUCGGUA